CCUACGGGGGGCAGCAGUCGAGAAUCAUUCACAAUGGGGGAAACUCUGAUGGUGCGACGCCGCGUGGGGGAAUGAAGGUCUUCGGAUUGUAAACUCCUGUUAUGUGGGAGUAAAUUAAAAAGAUAGUACCACAAUAGGAAGAGACGGCCAACGCGGUGCCAGCAGCCGCGGUAAUACAGAGGGCUCAAGCGUUAUUCGGAAUCAGUGGUCGUAAGGCGUGCGUAGGCGGUUGGGUAAGUCGUGUGUGAAAGGCGGGGGCUCAACCCGCGGACGGCACAUGAUACUGGGAGGCUAGAGUAAUGGAGGGGGAAGCGGAAUUCUCGGUGUAGCAGUGAAAUGCGUAGAGAUCGAGAAGAACACUCAUGGCGAAGGCAGGUUCCUGGACAUUAACUGACGCUGAGGCACGAAGGCCAGGGGAGCGAAAGGGAUUAGAUACCCUUGUAGUC
rnacentral:rRNA from 1 species